GACGGAGGAUGCAAGUGUUAUCCGGAAUCACUGGGCGUAAAGCGUCUGUAGGUGGUUUUAAUAAGUCAACUGUUAAAUCUUGAGGCUCAACCUCAAAAAUCGCAGUCGAAAACUAUUAGGCUAGAGUAUAGUAGGGGUAAAGGGAAUUUCCAGUGGAGCGGUGAAAUGCGUAGAGAUUGGAAAGAACACCGAUGGCGAAGGCACUUUACUGGGCUAUUACUAACACUCAGAGACGAAAGCUAGGGUAGCAAAUGGG
rnacentral:rRNA from 1 species